GAUUAACGCGAAGAACCUUACCUACCCUUGACAUGUGCGGAAUCCUCCAGAGAUGGAGGAGUGCCCGAAAGGGAACCGCAACACAGGUGCUGCAUGGCUGUCGUCAGCUCGUGUCGUGAGAUGUUGGGUUAAGUCCCGCAACGAGCGCAACCCUUGCCAUUAGUUGCUACAUUCAGUUGAGCACUCUAAUGGGACUGCCGGUGACAAACCGGAGGAAGGUGGGGAUGACGUCAAGUCCUCAUGGCCCUUAUGGGUAGGGCUACACACGUCAUACAAUGGCGCGUACAGAGGGUUGCCAACCCGCGAGGGGGAGCCAAUCCCAGAAAGCGCGUCGUAGUCCGGAUUGAAGUCUGCAACUCGACUUCAUGAAGUCGGAAUCGCUAGUAAUCGCGGAUCAGCAUGUCGCGGUGAAUACGUUCCCGGGCCUUGUACACACCGAAUC
rnacentral:rRNA from 1 species